rnacentral:rRNA from 1 species
GACGAACGCUGGCGGCGUGCCUAAUACAUGCAAGUCGAACGAACCGCGACUAAGUGCUUGCACUAAGUCAAGGUGAGUGGCGAACGGGUGAGUAACACGUGGGUAACCUACCUCAUAGUGGGGGAUAACAGUCGGAAACGACUGCUAAUACCGCAUAGGACAUAGGAUCACAUGAUCCAGUGAUGAAAGGUGGCGCAAGCUAUCGCUACGCUAUGGACCCGCGGUGCAUUAGCUAGUUGGUAGGGUAAAGGCCUACCAAGGCGAUGAUGCAUAGCCGACCUGAGAGGGGGAUCGGCCACAUUGGAACUGAGACACGGCCCAAACUACUACGGGAGGCAGCAGUAGGGAAUCUUCCGCAAUGGACGCAAGUCUGACGGAGCAACGCCGCGUGAGUGAAGAAGGUCUUCGGAUCGUAAAGCUCUGUUGUUAGAGAAGAACAGCGCAUAGAGUAACUGAUAUGCGUGUGACGGUAUCUAAUCAGAAAGCCACGGCUAACUACGUG